AUAUGUCCUGUGAGCUUAGGGGUGCUACAAGUUGACCACUGCAGCAGUAAAGAUGAUUCUGAAGAAUGGCAUGGGAUGGAUCCUUUCGAAUGCACUUGAGCAGCGGUCUCCAACCACAGGGCCACAGAGCUGGAGCUGGAUCUACCAUGAAAGACUUCUGAAUCCAGGAAGAGAGACUGACUGGGCAACAUGUUAUUCAGGAGAUGGGGUCUCACCCUGUCGCCCAGGCUUGAGUACAGUAGUGCUAUCACAGCUCACUGCAGCCUUGAACUCCUGGGCUAAGGAUCCUCCUACCUGAGCCUCCUGAGUAGCUGGGA
rnacentral:lncRNA from 1 species